rnacentral:rRNA from 1 species
UACGGAGGGUGCAAGCGUUAUCCGGAUUUACUGGGUUUAAAGGGUGCGUAGGUGGGUCUGUAAGUCAGUGGUGAAAUCCCCGAGCUUAACUUGGGAACUGCCAUUGAUACUAUUGAUCUUGAAUACCGUGGAGGUCAGCGGAAUAUGUCAUGUAGCGGUGAAAUGCUUAGAUAUGACAUAGAACACCAAUUGCGAAGGCAGCUGGCUACGCGAAUAUUGACACUGAUGCACGAAAGCGUGGGGAUCAAACAGG